UACGUAGGGGGCAAGCGUUGUCCGGAUUUAUUGGGCGUAAAGAGCGUGUAGGCGGCCAGGUAGGUCCGCUGUGAAAACUCGAGGCUCAACCUCGAGAUGUCGGCGGAAACCAUCUGGCUAGAGUCCGGAAGAGGAGAGUGGAAUUCCUGGUGUAGCGGUGAAAUGCGCAGAUAUCAGGAAGAACACCCGUGGCGAAGGCGGCUCUCUGGGACGGUACUGACGCUAAGGCGCGAAAGCGUGGGGAGCGAACAGG
rnacentral:rRNA from 1 species